rnacentral:lncRNA from 1 species
UAUAUAUUAAGGGAAAUAAGUUUCAAUAUUGAAUACGUUGAUAAUUGACUUAGCGGUCAAUUAAAGAUUGUAUCUAACUUUAAAUAGUAGGGUUACACUCUAAAUGUAGCUCCUACAAGUCUAGAACGUACAAAAACAUGGAUCCCAAAAACAUAUAUGUUUAAAGUUUGAAUAACCAUAAAUGAAACCGCUCACUUAGAUUCAUAAAGAAAUGGUGACUAUAUAUAUAUUGCAUUGUGGAGGUAUUGAGAUUUUUUUUAUUUUUUAUUUUUUUUAUUUUUUUUAUCACAGUGUAAACAAACUUUCAUAUUCAUAAACGGAAGCUUAAAAACACAAAAACUUGUUUUGGAUCAACAUAACUGAAACUUAAAAUACAACAAACAAAUCAAACAACAAACAAAUCUAUCAGGAACCCAACCCAAAAACAUACCCAGCAGAAGAGGAACUCGAUUGUGUUAUCGCCACCAACGAUCGAGCCAUCAUGUGAUACAGAAGCAUCACUACUGUGUGACACAAAGAUGUUAGCGAAUCUGCUACCAAGAGCCGAGACAACCACCAAAUCUUCUCUGCACAUGAACACCAACACGAAAUCCAACAACAUAAUUAAUUCAAGAAUCCAGACCCCAGAACCAUAUACAACAUCUAGCAACAAAUGGCCAGGCAAGGGAUUGCCAGGCUGAUAUUGCCAACACACCUAUGGUUAACAUAUGAUACGACGCCUUACUCAGAGGAUUGAGUCAGCGAACCUUUGUCAUGUUAGGGUGUUGGGUUUGUGAGAUAUGGAUUGAAAGCUUCUAAUGUGGGGUUUCGAGAAUUAGGGUUUUGAAUUGGAGGUUGAGUUGUUGUGAUUUGUUUCAUAUUUAUAUAUAUAUAGUCCGUUUCAGAUACGGACAUCUGCACCACCUUAAAGUGAUGUCGUCUCUCCGUUCGCCACCGUACGGCGCCGACGAGGGCGCGCCUCCACCCUAGCGGACUCCAACAGCGUCCCCGACCACUUUCCCUCCCCGGCGAGUCCACCGAAUUCCAGUUUUCUGGCCAGAUCACCCAAAACUUCAAACAAAGUCAAUCUGGCCGGAAAACUGGAAUUCGGCGGACUCGCCGGAGAUGGAAAGUGGUCGGGGAAGCUGUUGGAGUCCGCUGGGGUGGAGGUGUGCCCUCGCCGGUUCCGUACGGUGGCGUCAGGAGGGAUGUCCGCACUUUAAGAGCCGUGCGGAUGUCCGUACUUGAUAAUCCCUAUAUAUAUAGUUCCCUUCUAGAGCGGUGUCCCGUUUUGAAAUUAAAAUGUGGACCUCCUUAUUUCGCUCACUUUCAGGUCGCAUUUUCACAUCUCAACUGUACAAUGUUUAGAACACAGUGUGUAGAUCAUUCCUGCAAAGUUUCAUCUAAUUUGAAGAUCAAUUUUGCUUCCGUAAUCGUGAUUUACAUGAACGAUUCUAUUUGGACAGUUUUUGUUCUGUUGAUUUAUUUAAUUUAAUUCGGUACCCAAAUGAUCUUCAAAUUGGAUGAAACUUUGCAUGAAUGAUCUACACACUAUGUUCUAGACAUUGUACGGUUGAGAUGUGGAAAUGCAACCUGAAAGUGAGCGAAAUAAGGAGGUCCACACUUUAAUUUCAAAGCGGGACACCGCUCUGGAAGGGAUAUAUAUAUAUAUAUAUAUAUAUAUAGAGAGAGAGAGAGAGAGAGAGAGAGAGAGAGAGAGAGAGUAGUAGUNNNNNNNNNNNNNNNNNNNNGAGAGAGAGAGAUAGAGAUUCCUGAAUUGAAUAUGCAAGGGUCCAUGAACGUGCAAUGAGAUGGGUACGUAGGUGAAAUAGAGGAAUUAAGAAAGGGUGUGGUCCUCAUGGUUUAAUGGUUGUAGUAAAGAAAUUCAGAUGUGGUUGGUGUUAAGGUUAGAACCCUUAAACUAAUGUUGUUGUAUGGUUUGCAAAAUGGUUUAGAGCCUUUACUACUACAAAUAUGGUUAUUGAUGACAUUUCAAAGAUGGCGUUUUAUAGUCAAAUGUCAUCGAAAGUAUCUUUAAUGACGUUUUUGGAAGAAAAAAAACGUCAUUGAUAACUUGACGCUGUAGAUGUGUGUUCUUUUUAUGGCGUUUCGUAAACGCCGUUAAAAUUCCAAAGUAUCAAUGGCGUUUUAUAAACGCCAUUAAAAUUUAUGACGUUUGUAUAAUGCCGUCGUAAGUUUCAUUUAUGGCGUUUGAAAACGCCGUAAAAUAUUUUCAGGACUAUGGCGUUUGUAGACGUCGUAAUGGGCUGUCAUGCAAUCUGGCGGUCUUUUCUUUUUUUCAUUUUCAGAUCAGGCGGUCUUUUUUUUUGGCGCCUGAAGCCCAAAAGAGGGGUUUUACACCCAAACACAAUUUCCUCUUCUCAAACCAAACACAAUUUCCUCUAAGACAAAAAAAAAAAAAUUUCCCAAAUCACCAAGAGUCCAGCUUCGAUCGCUCAAAGACCAAGAGACCAAGCUUUGCUCUCUCAUCUCAAUCUUCGUCUGCUCCGUCCUUCAAUCUGUUUGGAGCUUUGGCCAAACCACCCACUUGCUCUCUCCACGUUCACUACCCCUCUAGGCCUCUCUGAGCUCUUCCCACCUUCACUCUUUCAAAUCAAUCCUCCUCUUUCCGACCCAAGAGAGCUCUCUCUUUCCGUUGCUUUGCUGGUACUUCACUCACUCUUCUCUCAAUCAUUGAUCUUCUUGUUUACCUUGGCUGAGUUUGAUAUGUAUUCAAUGAAUGAAUGUUGGGUUUUCGAUUUAGGCUGUUUUUGCUGGAAGUUGUUUAAUUUUUUUGUAUGUGGGUUGUGUUUGUUUUGUCUAAAUUUCAUAUAAUUAUAUGGAUGUUGCAAAGAAUGAGAUUAUUUCUGGUUAAAGUUGACGUUAUUCUAGUAAAGUUCCGGCCUUUGGUUUCGUCAAUGACUUUUUCAGUAGGAUGGGUAAUAUCCUCCCAAUUUUUUCAUCCCUAUCAUUGGAUUUAUAGAAUUGGUUUUUGGUUUAAUUUGCCCUGUCAAUAUCAUCAGUUUGCCAUUUUUUUUCUUUUAUCAAAAUUUGUGUCUGCCAUGAACCAAAAGAAAAAGGUGAUGAAGCAGUUUAAUAUUUUGUUUUGGCCUGGUGAAUUGGCUUGGCAAGUUGGAUUAUAAAUUGGUUGUAUGGUUCUAUGUGCUGGGUGUGAUUAGUUUGGAGGAUGUUUUCAUAUUUGAGGAGGAACUUGUUGUGUUUAUUGCCUUUAUUAUUUUGAUGCUAAGGAGUUUGGGUAGUAUGCAAAACUUUGAGGAGUCAAUUCAAGUGUAGAGAGGAGUUAAGUUGGUUAUGAGCUGCUAUAGUGCAUAUGCAAUUUCAAUAUUUAGUCAGAUUUUUAAGUUUGGAUUGUGUUGCCGAUAUAUAAAUAUGGGAGCUACUGGUAAUCUUCUGAUGGAAUGCUAAGUAUAUUGUGGCCAUAUAUCAAUUGGAUUUGCAAGUGUGUAGUGUUUAUAAAAGUUGAAGCAUUUAGUGACAAAUGCAGUUUAUUAGUUUACAAUUGAAGGAAAAGAUGCAGUUUUUUCAGCAAAUGAAGCUUUUCAAUUUGUUAGUUUACAGUUGAAGAAAAAUAUGAAGUUUUCAGAUUUGGGUUUUUAGUUAUACAUCUUUGCUGCUAUGUGUUGCCAAGGAUACUUCACGUAUUGUUGCACUACUGUUCAUGUGAAGGUACUUAAGGACUCUUGUUUGUCUCCUGCUAUGGUUUAUCUUUUUUUAAAAGUUUCAGCACCUCUAUUUUGUAUUUUAUCAUACUUUAUAAUCAUGUGUAUUUUUAGUAUAGCUAACCAUUAUGGUUUACUACAGGUUCCCAUAUAUUUAUAAUCGGGAUGGAACUGAACUUCAACCUGUUUUUCAUUUUUUAAUCAAUGUGCAAUUGGGUCAUUAGUAGGAAACCUGUUUUCCAUUUUUUAAUCAACCUGUUUUCCAACUUUUGGGUGUUCGUUGGCUUGGUUUUUGACUGCAGUUGUUCUGGCUUUAAUGGGUUUUUGUUGUUGGUUUUAGAUUACAGGUUGAUGAUUAUGACGUGAACACUUAUUAUUGAAGAGCUCUCUGUCUUUGAAUUUGGCAUCUUGGCUUGAUAUUGUUGUUUGUUUGUUUGAGGAGUAAUUCUGGUAAGUUAUCAUCCCAAAAGUUUUGUACUUUCUGAAUGCAAUCUCUAUUGAAUUUUACUUGGAUGAUUCUUCGUUGUUAUGGUAGUGCUUUUGUGUUCAUUGUGAUCGUUUUUUAUAUUUGUGAAAAAUGCUAUCUAUAUUCAGACUAUUGGUUCAGCAUAGCUUGUAUCUUAUACUCAUGUUUUAAAUUUCGGUUUUCUAACUAUUUAUGAAUGGCUGGUUUUGUGUAGUUUUGAAAUGAGAUUUUGAAUUGCUUUGGAGUUCCUAGCUCUUCUGUUUAUCCUUAGAUGGAUGCAGUGAAUUUGUUUAUUCAUGUUAACUAGUUAGAUAUAAGGUUGGUGGGCGUAUAUUUCUCAACUCGUUUGAUUUAUGUUUGUGUAGAUGUAGACAUGCUCUUUGUCUGUAGUUCUAGUUUUUAUUGAUUACUCUAUGUUAAUAUAUCUGUUAAUACUCUAUGUACACUAUGUCUUUAUACUCAUGUUUUGUUGUGUGAAAUAAGAAACUGAACUAACUUUAGAGGGGUCAAUAUAGUAUAGGAUUAGAUGUUAACAAUUUAAUAGUUGAAUUUUCAUAUCUUAUUAGGUAAGGAGAUCUGAGAUUUGAUUCUCAUUUAGCAUGGAUAAACGUUGGAUAACCUUAGAUAAAAAUAGAGAUGAGUACCGAGAAGGUGUUAAACAAUUUGUCUUAAAUUUCAAGCGGCAUGCAAGGAAUCCUGAAAUGAUUAUUUGUCCUUGCGCAAUUUGUCGCAACCUUAGCCCACAAACUGACGACGACUUAGAGAUCCAUUUGAUGCGCUACGACGUUGAUCCUGAUUACGAUAUUUGGUGUGCACAUGGUGAAGAGGCAGGCCCAUCUGUAGAAGUUGUAGAUGGUGAAAGUUCAUAUCAUAUUGAUGUGGACUAUGAACUUCCAGAAGUGCAUCAAAUGUACAAAGACCCACACUUCCCUUUUUUUGAUGGAGCUAGAAGUUCAAGGACUAUAAGAACAAAGGAAGAUUACAGAAAAAAAAGUGGAGGAGGCUGAAGUUCCUCUAUAUCCUGGGUGUAAGAAGAAGCACACAAAACUAUCAGUCACCCUCAUAUUCUACAAAUUCAAAGCUGAUAAUGGCCUUGCUGACUCAUCAUUUGAUGAACUGCUCGAAGUAAUUAAAGCUAUGCUUCCAGAAGUUAAUACUUUUCCUGAAUCUCUGCACAGAAUAAAAAAAUUCUUGAAAGGAUUUGAUUUGGGGUAUGAGAAAAUUGACGCAUGCAUCAAUGAUUGUUGCCUGUUUAGAAGUGAAAAGAAGAAGAACAUGCAGAACUGCCUCGAAUGUAAUGCUUCAAGGUGGAAAGUAAAACCACGGACCAAUGAGAUAAAUACGGGAGUGCCUGCAAAGGUUUUGCGUUAUUUUCCUAUAAUUCCAAGGAUUAAGAGGAUGUUUCUUUCAGCGAGUAAUAGUGAGCUGUUAACUUGGCACUCUACUCAUCACAGUCAAGAUGGCAUGAUGCGCCAUCCAGUUGACUCAAUUCAAUGGUGCACUGUUGAUCAAAAGUGGCCAAGUUUUGCUUCUGAGCCACGAAACUUAAGAUUUGGACUAGCCACUGAUGGUUUUAAUCCUUAUAAAAAUCUAUCUUCAACACACAGUAUUUGGCCUGUGAUUUUAGUCAUCUACAAUCUGUCACCUAAUGUUUGCAUGUCAUCAGAAAAUUUGAUGCUAAGUCUACUCAUUCCAGGCCCCAAACAACCAGGGAAUGAUAUAGACGUGUAUUUGGAGCCAUUGAUAGAUGACUUAAAGGAGCUAUGGACUAAUGGGGUGGAGAUGUAUGAUGCAUACAACAGGGCGACAUUCUACCUGAAAGCUAUCCUUUUGUGGACAAUAAAUGACUUUCCAACCUAUGGCAAUCUGGCUGGUUUAACUACAAAAGGAGAAUUUGCAUGUCCCGUUUGUGGUCCUGACACAUGUUCUAAAUGGUUAGCGCUUGCGAAUAAGACUGUGUAUCUAGGUUACAGAAUGUUUCUUGCCUAAAUCACCCUUUUCGCUCCAAGCACAAGUGGUUUGAUGGAACAAAGGAAAGAAGGAGAAGACCAAAGAUAUUUACUGGAUUGGCUGUUGUACAUGCCUUACGUGGGUUCAAAAAUAAAUUUGGCAAGAAAAAGAAGAAUGCAAAGAAGAAAUACAAGAAAGGAGAUUGGUCUAAAUUGCUAAAAAAGAAGUCAAUAUUUUUUGACUUGCCAUAUUGGGAGGUUAGUAGGUUUUUUGUGUUGUUUGCUGGUUAUGCAUUUAGAUCUGUUUGUAUGUUAUCUUAGCUAUUUUUCAUGACCUAAAUGUAUAUUUGGUGAAUUAUAGGUACUGCCUUUGCGUCACAAUUUGGAUGUCAUGCAUAUUGAAAAGAAUGUGUGUGAAAGUGUCUUAACAACCAUAUUAGAUGUCAAUGGUAAAUCGAAAAUUGAGAAUGAGUCUCGUAGAGAUCUUGAGUUACUAGAACUGAUGGAAGAUAUGCCUGUGGAAGAAAAACGUGCGAAAUUAGAGCUACUAUCUGCACCUUACACAUUAACAAAGGUUGAGAAACCUAAAUUUUGUGGUAAGUUGUAUUUUCAAAAGUUUUCUGAUGGGUAUUGCAGUAAUAUUGGUAGCUGUGUCAAGCUAAAAGAGUGCACGAUACUUGGUCUUAAGUCCCAUGACCAUCAUGUUUUAAUGCAACAACUGUUGUUUGUUGCAUUAAAAGGGUUUUUACCUGAAGGCCUAAGAAAAGCAAUAUGGCAUCUAUCUUCCUUUUUCAAUGAGUUGUGUCAAAGGGUAUUGGACAGAAAAAGGUUGGAAGAGUUGGAAGAUGAUAUCGUAUUGACUUUAUGUUUGCUGGAGAGAUACUUCCCUCCAUCCUUCUUUGACAUUAUGAUCCACCUUACUAUUCACAUUGGAAGAGAAGCUAAGCUAUGUGGUCUAAUACUGUACCCUUUUGAGAGGUAACCCAAUUAAAGCGUUUUUGUACCCUUUUGACUUAGUUAAUCUUGCUUGCAAAUGUUACUUUUUUGUUUUUUCUGUUUGUUGACUUUUUUUGUUUUCUUAAACUUGUUAGAUAUAAGAAGGUACUUAAGGACAAUGUUAAGAAUCAUGCUAGACCUGAAGGAUCUAUAGCUGAAAACUAUUUAGCUGAUGCGUGCUUGAGGUUUUGUGGUUGAUACAUGAAACAAGUAGAUGCGAUUAGUUCUAAAAGGAAACGUAAUGAAGCUGUUGAAGAUGAAACUAUUGUAGAAGGGUCUACAUUGUUAAAAGGGUGUUCAGUACUUUUAUCACAUUCGAUACACAAAGCUGUUCAUCUUUGUGUGUUGCUUAAUAGUGCAGAAGUUGAACCAUAUGUACAGUAAGUCAUUUGCAUAUGGUUAUUGUUGAUAAUAUAUUUUGCAUUACUGAAUUAUAGAUUAACUCUUAAAUUUCUAUUAGGGUUCACAAAGAAGAAUUAACUCUUUCAGACCCACAUUUAAUUACUGAUAACAGCUUGUUAGAGAAAACUCAUUUAGAGACAUUCGUCGUUUGGUUACAAGCCAAGGUUUGAUAUACUCAAUUCACUCUGUCAAUUCUAUGGUAACUAACUCCAAGUGCUAAUUGAAAAGUCUUGUUAUUUGAAUAAUGUACAGAUUAUGUCUGAAGCUAGAGAGGGGUUUUUGUCGGAUACUUUGAAGUUGCUUGUGAAAGGGCCUAGAUUUUAUGCAAUGUCGCAUAUUGGUUUUGUAAUACAUGGAAAACACUUUCACACAAUAGAUGCAAAUGUUUCCACGGCAGAUUAUGGUGUCCAUAUUGAAGCAGAUUCUAGUCUGAAUUAUUAUGGAAUUAUAAGAGAAAUAUUGGUGUUAGACUACUACAUUUUCCGGUUGGCUAUCUUUCGGUGUGACUGGGCAAACAUUGUUAGUGGUGUGAAAAAGGGGGAUGGGUUCACUUUAGUUAACCUUCGUGAUGGUUUAGAUAAAAAAGAUCAAUUCAUUUUAGCAUCACAUGCUAAACAAGUGUUGGUAUGUGGUGCUGAAGGCUCCUCCAAGAGGCUUUCAUGAUUUAGAGCUUUUUGAUGAGUCUGUUUUUAUGUCAUAUGUUCCGUAAGAUAUUUCCGCACUGGACAUAGACAACUUGGAUAGUGAUGAAAGUUAACAUUGUUGUGAAAUCUUUUGUAAUCUGUUGUCUACGUACAUAUGAUGUAAGUUGUGUUUUGUACUAAUGAAAAUGGUGUGUUUACUGUAUGGUUUGCCUCUGAUACUUAGAGCAUUAAAGCUGAUACAUUGAAGUUGAUAAAUCAUAUUUUGUGCCUCCUAGACUUCAUUCUUGAGCGGAACAUUAUCCAGGGGAACUAGCUAAGAUACAAUGGCUGAGGUAUGAUUUUAUUUGCACUACUAUAAUGUUAACUUGUAUAACAUAUGUAUUUAUCUGCUUUUAAGUAUCCAUUUUCAUGUUGUGUAGACUGUGACUAGUGGGAGGAAGAGGGGUAGAAGUGUGACAGAUGGAAAUUCUGUGCAAUGUGCACAGUCUACUGAUGAAUGAGAGAAUCAUGAUGUGUCUGUAAAGAAAAAGAAACCAAGAGGUAGAACCUGUUUGCAGGUGAUGGCAAUAGGGGAAAAGGAAAAAAAUUAGUGGAGUGGAAUUCAAAGGGGCAACCUGUUGGAGCUGUCUCCGUCAAAUUCUCGUCUACUAUGGGAGUAAUAGUGAGAGAACAAGUGCCAAUUGUCAUCGACAAUUGGCAUGGAGUUAAGGAUCUUGCUAGGGACAGUCUCUGGACACUUCUGAUGGUAAUUCAUACAUGUUUUGGUUAUGCUGUUAGUUAUGUGAUGUUUCUUGUAAUGCCUCAUUUAAUAUUCUAUUUUUAAUUAUUUUAUGGUUGUAAAUUUUUCUGUUCUCAUGGAAACUUUGCAACAAAAGUACAUAGUGGAUGUGUGCUUCAAGCCAUUUAUCUUGCAGCAAAUGGGCAAAUUAUGGAGAUCUUGGAAAUCUGAACUUUCAACUGAGAUAAGAAAAAUUCUGGAAUUGAAAUCGACCAAGACAGAGAGGACAAAUCUUAUUGCCAAACUGAAGCCUCAUGAUGUGUCAUUACCAGAGUGGGAUCAAUUCGUGCAACAACGCAUGUCUGAUAAGUGGCUGGUAAGUAAUUAGCAUAACUUUAUUUGGUAAUUUUAAGUUUAAACUUCAUUUGAACUCGACAUGAUAGACAUAUUCAUGUAGGCAAAAAGUUUGAAAAUGAGAGAAAUAAGAGCAAAACAGACUCUUACACACACAUUGAGUCGAAAAGGGUAUGCACGAAAGGAAGAUGAACAUGUAAAUCUGCCUUAGAGUUAUAAUCUAUAUAUUUAUCUUCCACUUUGAAGUUACGUUUCCGCAAGUGUAGUUUCCAGUUUUCAGAAAUUACUUUCAUGACUUUCCUUUUUAGAACAAAGAACACCCUGACAAGCCUCUAACCAAGCCACAACUUUAGAUUGAAGCACAUGUGUCAAAGAAAAAGACAAGCGAGGCUAACGCUGCUAAAAUUGUAUUAAGUCUACACUUUUAUGUAUCAUCUAAUAUUUUACUUAGUUGCUUCUAAAUAAUUACAUUGUGGCUUGCAUAUUGUUUUGGUGUAGGCUGAGGUACAAAAGAAAAUUGAUGAGGCUACUGAUGAUGGAGAGGCUAUUUUGAUUCAAGUCCUAGGACUAGAGCGCCCUGGUCGUAUUAGAGGUGUUGGGGCAGGGGUUACAAAAACAAAGCUAUAUGCUCAAGCACAAAGUGACGCAAAAAUUGAAAAACUAGAGGCCAAACUGCAGGUAAUGACUACAAAAUAUCAAAAAAUAGAAGCUGCAUUAGCUUCCAAACUUGGAAUAAGUUUGGAGGAUGAUGAUGAAAGUGGGGAAGUUGCACCUACAAUUCCAAGGUAUAUAUUCAUGUUCAUGUUUCUUUUCAUUUCAUAUAUUUUAGUGUCAUAUUUGGAUGCUUAUCUAGAUUUCCUUGAUUACAUAGACUAAAGUCCAAUGUAAUGCAACCAAGUCCAGAGGGUAUUGCAACCCCAAAGGUAUGAGUAAUUGUGUUGGUGUAAAUAUUGUGUUCAUAUAUAUAAUUCAAUCAAUACAAGGUAAUCACUUCUAUGUUUUAUAUUUCGUAGUCGGGACAGGGAAGCACCCAUCAGCCUUCAAUUCAUGACAAGUGCAAGUUGUUAAACUGGAAUGGUAAUGGUGAAGUAGUGGCAAGAGGUUCCCUCUUAGCAACAGAUCCAAAAUCAACAGUGCAUGGGUACACACUUGGACCUGAUUGUUAUAGGGUUUCCAUUGAAGAUGUAUUUAUGGAAAGAGCAGAAUUUUAUCGCUCUGAGCCUGAAUUUGCAAACCUUGAGGAUGCACGUGGCAGCACAAUUGCUUGGCCAAUCAAGUACAUUGUCUUUGAUGACUGAAUAUGAGGUAAAUAAAUCUUAAAUUCACCAUUGCCCAAGUUGGACUAUCUAGAAUAAAUCUUUAUUUACCCUGUCUUAUGUGAUACAUGUUUUGCUAUGCAUUUUGUAGUCUCAUGUUUGGAAACGAAUUUGCCAACCACCAAACCUUUGGUGGUCAUAGGACCAUCAAAUAUCAAGCUGCCAUGUGUGAUAAAUGCUAACCAUAGUUAACCAAACUAAUAAGAUAGAAAAAAGAGCUUAAUAACAAUAAUACUCAAAAUAUUUUAUGCAUAUCUUAUUACCUUUAAUUGUUCAUUUAAUUUUCUAAACCUUUCAUUUUCUACCGUCUUCUACCAUCUUUUUCCGUCACUCAUCAUCAACUUCUAUUCUUCUACUCAGUUUUUUUUUCUCUAGGUCACUCUCAUAUAAAAAUUACCCUUUUUUUUAGUGUGUAAAAGCCUCUUAAAUGGGAAUACUCUUGAAGAUUUUAUCAAGAGAUGUGUCAAAGAGUGAGUAGGGGACAGGGGCGAGUGGUUUUGAUCGGACUUGUGUGGUGGGGGGUAAGAGAGAUAGUGAUGAAGGAGAGACAGAGAGUUAGAAAAGGAGUUCUGUUGUUCAAACCCAGAUGCAGAAAUUUUUUAAAAAUAGAGGCAGUUUUCUUCAUGAAAACUUUGGACUUAUGAGAGGAUUUUGAUUUCCCCUAAUUCCAUCAAUACUUGGGGUUUCGGUCUGGAUUUGAUCCCUCAUCGUUUUUGCUUUCUUGUAUAUCUGUUAUAGGUAGGAAGGAGGUUGUGAUUGAUAAGUUGGUUUGGAUUUGAUCCAUCAUCGUUUUUGCUUUCUUGUAUAUCUGUUAUAGGUAGGAAGGAGGUUGUGAUUGAUAAGUUGGAAGAAUAUUGUAUGACCUAAUCCAUCCUCACACUUCAGUUCAAUUUCGUGCCUUCAGUUGAGUACUUGAGAUUUGAUAAUAGAUGUAGAUUGUGAUUUGACGGGCAAGUUAUACUUUGUUCAUCAUCUUGUAGGAUUCUGGGUCUACGAUGAAAAGGUUGAAUUAAUAAAUAAUUAAAUACUAAGCAAGUUUUGUGUUAACCAUAGUUAGUCAUAUUUACAGUGUUUUACACAUGGCAGCUUGGUAUUUGAUGGUCCUAUGGCCAACAAAAGCUUCAUGGUUGGCAAAUUUGAAUCCCUCAUAUUUAGUGUUGUAUGUAUGUUGGAGUUGGAGAUUGCUUCAUUUUGUUAAAAGUGCUUCCUUUUUUACAGUGUAUAUGGUGGACAGUUUGGUGGGUUUAGAGGCCAGGUUUGUUGUCAAAUUGCAAGAGGGUUUUGGCAGGAAGAUUUGGUGAAGUGUUCAUGAGGACCAUGCAACUCUACCUCUUUUUGUGUUUGUGAACUCAUUUACUUUCUCAUAUGCAAGGAUCUUAUAAACUCUUGGAUUUCUAAGUUAUUAGAAUGAUUAUUAAAUGUGAAGGAUUCAAGUUUGUGAAUAGAUUAAUUUCUAUAUGAUGUUUAUGUUGUUUGUUGGUUAUUUAUAAAUGCAUCAACUAAUGGUUAUUGCCCUGGUUAAAUGAGAUUUUUUUUUAUUUACAGAAAAUAAGAUGACGUUUAUAAAACGUCAUUAGAUUGUUUUUACCAUGUUUGGAAAACGCCAUCCAUGAUUUUAUAAACAAAAUUCAAAAUGAAAGAUGGCGUUUAGGAAGUGUCAUAUUAUAGAUUUAAUAUGGAAGUAUAUUUUGAAAACGCCAUGUUUUGAAAACGCCAUAUUUUAAGAUGGCGUUUUUACCAUGUUUUGAAAACGCUAUGGAAGUAUAUUUAUGGAGUUUUAGAAACGCCGUGGAUGUAGUGAUUGAUGGCAUUUUACAAACGUCAUAAAAUAUAUUUCAUGGCCUUUUUCAAACGCCGUGGAACUGAUUUUAUGGCGUUUUUCAAAAGCCGUGAAAUCAGUUCCAAAGGACGGCGUCACUUUAGACUGCGUUACGGGAUGACGUUGAAACACGCCGUGGAUGACAUUCUAUGGCGUUUUUCAAACGCCGUGGAUGUGUAUUUGUGUACUAGUGCUUUGAGAUAUAUGAGCCGUGUUAAUUAUUGACAAUGUUCUACUUUGGCACUAAAUGGGCAAUCAUCGUGAGUUAGUUGAUGAUUGCAGCUAGUUCUUUCUGAUUAGAUUUUCUCAUAUUUGUUGUUGUGUGUUAUUUAUUGGUUUCCAUAUGUAGUUAGUUGUAUGUAUUGUUCUGACUAUUUGAUUAUUCCUUUCAGACCACACCCUGAUUGAUUAUUUUUCAAUCAAGGUAUAUCAUGGGGGAUAUAUAGAUCAUAUUUCAGGCACGUACAUUGGAGGGAGUAUCAAUUACUAUGAUAAUGUUGACAAAGACAAAAUGUCGUUGAUUGAAGUGGAUGGCAUGGUGAGGGCCGGGGUAUCAAAGGUGCGUAUGAGAAGGACACUGAAGGAGGCCUCAAGCUUGGAAGGGUUCAAAAAUCUUUGAGGUGUCGCAAUUGUGGCACAUUGGGUCACAACAUCAAGAUGUGUCAUAGGCAUCUUCCACCUAAAACACCAGCUCAUGAGAUUGGGACAAAGAAGAGAAAGCUAAACAGUGGAGACGCAUCAUCUAUUAAGGUAUAUACUGGUUUUGAUUUUUUUGAUACUUAAAAUGCAUAUGAAAAAUUGUAUAGUACUGAGCUUACUUGGUUUUGGUAAAGGGUACCAAACCACUACCGAAAACCAAGAAUGACCUUAGGACAAAAGCACAGUUGAGAAAAGUUGCAGCAAAGGUAACUGAUGAUUUCAUUAACUGAUUUUAGUUGUUAUUACAAAACACAUUCUUUGCUCUUAGUUGAUAGGUUUCAUGUUAUUAUUGUAGGACAAAAGAGAUGCAAAGAGGGUAGCAGCAAAGGCAACAGGUAGAGGUCCUCCAACUAAGGGUAGACCACCAAAAGCUGCUACCAGCACUGUCAUAAAUGCUUCUGCAAAUACACAGCCUUCUCAAGCUUCCUCAAGAUCAUCAGUGAGGAUCCGAGCAAAUGCAAACAAGGGAGGAAAAUAGAGGAUGAGAAGAGGGGGAUAAGCAACCGAGGUCAAGAUUAAUAGAUGCAAAGUUGCAUUUUUUGUGCAACCACGUGCUACGUCACAUGGUUGCUAGGUCUAAUCUUCUACUUAGAUGAUUAGAGCUAGAGUUUUAUGCAACUUAAUCCAAACAUUUGUGUUUUGUUAGUUUGGAUGUAAACGUACAUUAUGCAUCUAUUAUAUUUGGUUGCUAACUCUGAACAAGUUUCUGGAAAUUUUAUGGUUUUCCUGCAAUGUUCGAUAUGGAUUCCUAUUAAUUGUUUGCUAGUGUUUUUCCUAUUAAUUGCUUGGUACGUGGUGUCUUGAUCCACUUUUGUGAUUUUUUUUUGGAAAAUUGAUGUUAAUUUGAGGACACUUUGAUGUAAUCUAUUAUAUUUGGUUGCUAGUGAACAAGAUUUCUGGAAAUUUUAUAGUUUUGCUCAACUUUUGGUAAUUUUCUGGUGUUUGUCUAGUUCUCUUCAUAUUUUGGAAAUUUUGGAGUUUUUGAUCCACUUUUCUGGAAUUUUUUGAGAAAUUGUUGUUUGAGGAAAUAUUGGUUUAAGGUUUAGUUUAUAAUAUUUUGUUAAAUUUUGGAGGCAGGUGUUUAAUUGACUAUUUUGCCCUCUCUUGGGGUGUAGAAACUGAAAUGUGGGUCAACCUUGUCUGCUCCACAUCAGCGCAUGACGUCAUGUUCAGUGCGAGAUUUAAAUUUUGGUCGAGAUUGAUGUCAUUUUGAAAGUUUAGGGAUGAGUCUGAUUAAAAAAAAAAUGAUGUAUCAGAUUGAUUUUAGAUCUAAAGUUCAGGAGAGUAAACUGAAAUUUUUCCAAAUGUUAAUGAGUUGCUCAACAAGAGUUUAUUAUUUUUCAAGUGACACUGUAGCAGUGACGCCACAAAAACACAAACUGUUAUGUAUAUCUCUAACUUCCUAACAAGAAUUAGAUAUGGGGAAGCAUUGAGUACAUGAAGAAGAAGAGAUGAAGAAGAAGAAUAGUGCACGAGGCUCCCUUAGCUUGAAUGGAAUUCUGCGUAAAGCUAGCUAGAGUUUCUUUUUGGUUAUCAGGUCUGUUCUGUAGAGAGAAAAGGGAUUCCCGGUCAGACUGUUGGGUCUUUCUGCUGAAUGUCAGAGUACUGUUGCUUACACGAAGCUUUGUAAUGCUUUCUUUUCAGUCCAGAAAGGACACCUGACCCUCAAUUACUAAUCUUGGUGCGACGUACAAGAAAAGCUGCAAUUGGCUCCAAGUUCAAAUUUUACUUCUCAAGCCAUCUUUCUUAGGUAGAAUCAUUCUAUGACAGAUUUACAGAAAGAUUGUUACGAAUUCUAAACUUGAGGAAGCUCCAUGAGGAAGGAGGUAUUUCAGCUUCUGAUAUAUAACAACAAAAAUCAUACCCAGUUCUAUGCUCCUCAACAGUAAGCCUAACAAAAUUUUACCACCAAGUACCUCUACUAAAAAUGAAGAGAUAAGCAAUUAUAUAUGUGACAUAUUAUGUGAAGCUACAUUUGAGAAUAUUCAUACGAUGUUCCUCGUAGAAGAUCGAACCUCGUACCAAUUCAUUUUCCUUUGAAAGACAGGAUCAUGAAGUUGCCCUCAAGUAUGUUGUUUAGGUAACGAGGGAGAUUCACUAUGAUCAAUGGGAGAGGGGAAAACAUCAGACAUUGUGUCCCAUGAAAUGUUUUCAUCCUUCUUUCGUCUUCUGUCCAAGAAGGCCGGUUUCAUAGGUAGUGUUUCAGUCAUCUGAACUUUGCAUGUUAACAUUGCUACAAUGUCUGACAUGGGGGGUCUCAGAUUUGCAUGAGGCUGAAGGCAUAAGAAUGCCACAUUGAUUGCUUGCAUAACAUCCUUCCCCUCAAAUCCAUCUUCAUGCAGUUUUGGAUCGAGUAGAUCAGUCACCUCUGAUCUCUCGUAUAACUUCCACGCCUGAAAUUUUUUAAGUGAAAAUUAGUGCCAAGAUUUCAAACAUUUCUAAGAAAACCACUAAUUGCUGAAAGAGUAAAAGCUUACGUAUUCAGGCAGGUAUUGCAUUUCUGAUGCUAGCUUAAGAUCUGUGUUUUUCCUGCCACUAAUUAUUUCAAGCACAAGGACUCCAAAACUAUAUAUAUCCGCCUUUUCAGACAGUUGUCCUCUAAUAGCAUAUUCAGGCGCUGUAUAUCCUCUGAGGAAACAGGUAAAGGGAGUUAAUUAAAAGAGAAAGACCAAAGUUUCUGAAAGGAAAUAAUACUCCCAAAGACACUUUUUAGUGCUAUGUCCUUUACAUUCAUGCUUCCAACAUUUGAUGGGUUACAAACAAAUUGCGCAAUUCAUCACCUAAUCUCAUAUGUCAGAUGACUUGCUGUAUUACUUUCACUUUUGCAUGACCAAAUCCAGAUUUAUCAUAUAAACGUAAACCAUUUUUCUAUUGAAGACAAGAAAUGAUUUGAAUUCCUAUAAAACAGAAGUUCAACCGGUUUAAUUUAUCUAUGGUAUCAAUGUAUAGUAAAGUUGAUACGAAGUUCAACCGGUUUAAUUUAUCUAAUUUAUCUAACAGAUGUGAUGUUCAAACAAAUAUAGGGAAGAAAUAAAGUUGAUAUGAAGUCUUUGGUUGGUAAAGAAACUAGAGUCUAUAUCAGAAAAUUCAGAGCUGUAGAGACAAAAGUGGAAGCAUACUAGACCCUUGAUGAUUGUGAUGCUUGCAGCACAAUAAGUCCUGUUCUUUUCAAAAUGACUAUUCUAUUUUCCAUCUCUCUUUUCUUCCCUUCCUGUUUCCCUUCCUGUAUUUUCUUUCAGAAAAUGGGCUAUAUGUAAUACCAAAUCUUUAACUACUGUUUAACAUAUGUCGUCUAAUCAUUGACUUAGGAAAUUUUUAUAUUAGCUGAAGGACUUACAGAGUUCCCGCAAAUGUUGUACUGAGAUAAGCUUGGUCUUCAGGGAAGAACCUAGCUAGCCCAAAAUCUCCAAUCCUUGGUUGAAACUUUUCAUCAAGAAGAAUGUUGCUCGCCUUGAUAUCUCGGUGGAUAAUUCUUAGUGGGGAAUCCUCAUGUAGAUAUUGUAAGCCUCUAGCGAUUCCAACAAUUAUCUGGAACCUAGUGCUCCAGUUCAGGAACAGAUCACUUUUCCCUGUUUUUCAUCAAAAGGAAUCAUAAGCAAUAAUCAAACCGAAAUGAUAAAUUUGCACUUUAGAUGGAUGAAACAUGAAAGGAAAACUAGCCAAGAAAUUAAUACCAUAUAUUAUAUGGUCCAAGCUCUUGUUUUUCAUGUACUCAUAUACCAAGAGUCGCUGAGGCCCGUGUGAACAACAUCCAACAAGUUGAACCAAGUUCCUGUGUUGGACGCUAGUGAUCAACCUUACCUCUGCAAGAAACUCAUUUUCUCCUUGUUGGGAUUUAUCAAGAGAUAACCUCUUAACAGCAAUUAACCUCCCAUCUUUUAAUUUUCCCUAAGAAAAAGAUAUAAUGCAUGUUAGAAAAGAAGGACACUUAGAGUAUGUGUCUCAAGAUCCCAACAAUGUGUUCUAUUCAAGUGUAUUAUUGUUUUGGUUUAUCAUAUCAGUUGAAUAAUGUUCCCUCUGGAAACUUGUAGUGUGCAGAUAUGUCUCACUCUCAACCCUAGAACGUUCAUGCAAAAAAGUUUAAAAAAAAAAAAAAAAAAAAUAAUUACUACCACAAUAUGUUCCAUAGGUCCAGGAAUAGUACCUUGUAGACAGGGCCGAAGCCACCUCUCCCAAGUAGAUUGCUCUUAUGGAAGUUCUUCGUUGCCUUCUUCAAUGUUGGGAAGUCAAAAUAGCUUAUUGUUCUAAGGAUUCCACUGAAUGCGUCUGUCGAUGCUGCAUUAAAAAGAAAAAGUAUUAACAGUGAGGUUAUGAUCAAGAUUCUGGUUGUUAUUUGUUUGAUCAAUAAUCUAACCUGGCCGUUUUCUUGCUCUUGCUACCAACUUCUUAAUCUCUUCUGGUUUGAUCUUUUUCCGAAAGAUAUAUACAAUUAUAAGCAGGAUGAUGAGCAUGACUAUCCCUCCAAGAAAAAAGAACAAGGCUGUAGACCGCGACUUAGAUGUGGAGGGUUCUGCUGAAGACAUCACUACAACCAAAAAAUUGUAAAUCUGUAUUAGUAGGUUGGACUCAAUUGAAAUAAGAUAUACUCAAAACAAAGUUGAGCAAGACAAUGAGAUCAUUAAUUGAAUUGUUCUAAUGCAUGGAUCUGUGAAUAUGAUGUGACCACAAGCCAUUAGAUGCACCUUCCUUCAUAACUCUCUGUCAGUAUCUCAUAAGAACCUUACAGGUCAAUGAAAAAAACCAUUCAGAUUAAGCACCCCAAAGCUAUAACACUUCUGGUUUCGGUCAGUUAGUCUCUUUGCUAGUGCCUAGUGCUAAUCUUAUCAUGAAACCCUUGAUAUUGUUUACAAAAUAUGCAUGAUUGAUCACUAAUACAUACAUAUAUGAGCAGAUUUGAUGAUUGAUCAUAUCCUCUACAAUACCAUCAAAUAUACAUAUAUAUAUAUAUAUAUAUAUAUAUAUAUAUAUAUAUUGUGUUUUAUGAAUGAUUGAGGAUGCAAAAACUGAAACCAUAUAAAAUUUCCAAUAGAUAAUAAAACUGAAACCAAGGCUCCUCUGGUAUGAUCACUGUGACAAUUUUAGCAACAUGACCAAUAUGCAAGGCUGAUGUUUUUUUGCAGCAAACCAGCAAAGCAAUCGUUACCUUCCAGUAAGAGACGAGUCAUGGUGAGGCAAUAGUUUUGUGUUGCAGCAGAAAAUGUGGAGAAUGGUGUUGCUGGUAUAAUGGUAUUGCACUACUGGCUGCUCAACAACAGCAGCACCAGAAACUGCCACAUUCAUCCAUUGUUGGGUUUUUCUUGCAUUGGUAAAAGACUUGUGGGGGAGAGACUGAGGGAAAGACAUAGAGGGUUAGCAUAGAAGUAAUCGAUAGAAAGGAAUAUCGGACAUUACAAUAUGUGUGGGUUUUUGGCCACUAAUUGGAACGAAGUUUUGUCAAUUGCUCAAAGACAAACUUAAUGAUUUGAAUGACGUACUUCAGUAUCAGUAAUAGUAACACAGACAUAUAGGUAUUAUAUGUAUUAGUCCAGUUCUUUCUGGAAACUCAUACUCAUCGAAGAAAGAAAAAAAAUUCAUUCAACUCAUGCAUUGCAUCGGUAAAUUUCAUUCCAUCUGGCUUUGGCUCUUCCCCCUACUCGACCGGAUACCAUGCAGAGAAUUUUACCGUGGUACCUUCUAAGGGUUACUAUGAUACUAACAAUGAUACUCUUUUUUAGUGUAAAUAUUCUUUUCUAAACGACUUGAUGUUCAUUUUAUUGACACUUUCAGAAAAGUGAUUAAGAGCAUUUAUUCCUGGACAUAAGGUCGGGCCUCCUAAAAAUACAAAAAAUAGAGAGAUAGAAAAGACUUCAUUGAAAUAUUACCAAUGGGUAAACUCUUGACUUGCUAAUCACAUUAACAGUUGUCACAUUGUAACUUUGUUAAUAAUUUAAUUGAAUUACACAUAUAGGAGAUUUGUGAUAGCAACAGAUAGAAACAUAGAAGAUUUCAUCAAACCAGUUGGCAUCACAAAUCUACUGUAUUUUACUAAGCCCUUGAUGCCUUGUUUGCUGCUGUGUCAUCAAACUGUCUCAUAGUUACGAUUCUGCGAUUCAUAUAGACUUUACAUGCCAAGCAAGUUUCACAGGAUCACAGUUUAUAUGAAUUACAUGACAAGAACUAAAUUAUGAACUUACAGGAACUGCUUAUUGGCACAAUACACCAAUUCAUAAUCCUGUUCGUCUAGGGAGAAACCUAUAUGUGUGAUUCACCCAAUUGGUACAUGUGCUGCAGGUUUGCAUAGCCAGUCCAAUGCAAAAACAAACAAAUGUAAUGACAAAUUGACAAUGAUAAAACAACAGCAGAAACAAUAGUGUCAUUUUAUAUAUUGUUGAUGUAUCUAAAAUGUUUUUUUUAUACAUUGUUGAUUAAGGACUUGUCCACAAAUAUAUUUGGGACUAUUAUGUAACCUUUAGACUUUGGAAGACAUAGUUUCUAUGUAUACUAGGAGUAAUUGGACGAAAGUUGAUGAUAAUCCCAAAGUUUAUAUAUAAUGAUACUUAAGGAGAAAGAAAAUAUACUCAAUUUUACCUCAGAGAUUGCUCCAAUGAUACAAUCGUUGAUAGGUAUCCCCGACCACCAUUCUCAGAAUCAAGGCUUACGAACUAAGUGACCAUUACCGUUUCCAGCCAGUGCUCAUAUCAUUCCUCCAUGUGUUUGGUUCCUUGAAGCUUGAACCCUAUUACCUGUUGACUUGCUUGCUAAAGUUUCCUGGAGCACCACCCAAAUAACAACAAUAGUUGUUAACACUUCAUAUAAGUUAAGGCAGUAAUGGCAGCAGGGAACUAUUUUCAUUAAAAAAGAAAAGAGAAUCAAAUUGGACCAUGGAAUGCAGUUUCUGGAGACAUGGUAUUGCAUUAUUCAUUCAACUUAAGGAGAACAUUGUACACCUUGACAGGGGUUUCUUCACAGCAUCUUUUAACAAACUUCAAGUGUGUAUGUGUUGUGCUUUUUGGGUCUGUUAUUUCUAUGUAUGCUUUGCAACUUUAAUUCUUCUCAUAUUAAGAAGUACAUGAAAAGUACUUGUUGCAACUUCAAAACCUUGUUUGUUGUUUCGAAUCUGAUGAUUUCUAGGAAGAGGAUAGAAACCAUGAUGGCUCAAGAUAUGUUCUUUCCAUAUGAGAGUGGCAUAUUCCGGAUGAUCAACAAACGGAUUUCUGUUGUGUUGAUAAAACUUGCAUACUCUGUCAUUUCUCAGUUUCUCCUCUCUUGAAGGGGGAUCAAUCUCAUUCCACCUUAACAAUGUAGAAAGCAGUCCCAUCUCACUCUUUGCUGCACCAAUGCACUCACAAAUUAAACCAAUCAAGCCAACAAAAGAAAUGCAGUAUUAGUUCCACAUCAAUAACAGCAUAAAUUUUCAAGAUAAAGCAAAUAAGAACAUAUAGAAAUCCAUUCCUACACUAACAUUCAACUUCAAGCUUACUCUCUUAAUAAUCAUUUAUGAACCUUGCUGUUAUUAAAGCAACUACACAGCUGGUUUAGCUCGUAUCACAAGUCCACCUUUUCAAAGGUAGUAGAUAUGCACUAAAAAUCUGGAAUGAUGUAGGCACAAUGACUGGUACUUGCUCACUCAUUCUCCUUGAGUUUCUAAAUUAUGGUUUGAUGAUCAAUCUGAAGUCUCCUUGGUCCUGUUUUUGUUUCCAACUUAUGGUCAGUUUGUUUGUAGUCAAGAUGCAGCUCUAUCUUUGAUGCAAAACUCCAUCCUCCUUGGCCAGUGGUUGUUAUUGGUGAUUUUUCAGGGAAUAGAUAAAUGCAAACAAAGUUCAUGACUCUAAACCUCCUGGACAAAGUGGAAACCCUGACCAGCAUAUUGGUGUAAGCUUGAUGCAGAUGGAAGUUGUAAGCCGAAUAGUUCGUCAUAUUGGUACUGGUGGUUUAUUGAUCGAGAAACUCUUUUAGUUAAUGGAUCAAGGGGUUUGCAAUGAAUUUUCGACAAGGAAUAGAUAUAGAGGCAGAGCUAUUUUCCAGAAGAGCAUGAUGUAAGAGGGCUUGUGUUCGCAUAGGAUUCUAACAAAUGGUUCAAAUCUAUUGCGAUAUGAAAAGACUUAUAUGUAAAAAUGUCUUUGGGAGGGAGUGAAAGCUACUAGCCCAUGCAAGUCUAUAGUGGUUAUAACAUAGAGGCUGAUUUUCUUUUCUUCAUUCAUAGAUGUUGGUUUAGAGAACAAGGAAGAAUCAGAAACAUUUCUGAUGAAUGUGGAAUUCUCUGUCAAGAUCAGCAUGUCUGAUGCAUUAAACUAAGAAUCUUCAAUAAAAAAAAUAUAAAAAAAAUUAAAGCAUAGCUACAUUCACAAGUGGUUUCUAAUGCAGACUCAAGUCCGUAGUUGUCAUUUCCAAAAAAACAAAACAAAAAAUCCUUAGUUGGAGCAUGGAGACAAUCACAACUCAAGCUCAAAGUUUUUUUUUUCUAACUUACAAAUCUUUGGAGAAUCUGAAAGGUGAAGAACUGGGCCUCCAUCUGAUUGACGAUAACCAUAACAUACUGCCAUGUACAUCAGUGCCCUUGCAAUAUCUCCUCUAUGCUUAAAUGGCAUGACAAAGAAAAUCACGUAAGAAAAGAAUAUAUAUGAAACUGACUGUAAAGAUAUAUACACAAACAUUAAUUUGGUAGCCAUAAGAAACCUCGGUAGUGAUUAUGGUACCAUGAUAAAUUGAACCCUGAAUGCAUGGAUAGUCAUUCUGCUAUAGCCUAAACUGGCAAGGAGGGGUUCCCCAUGUUGUGAGAAAUCGACUACCUUGUUUGGUACAAACUGAAUCUGGUUUUGCUUCUGAAAUAACCUACAGAUUAUUUGGUAAAAUUCAAAUUUAGUUUUUUACUUUUGUUCCUGUUAAGUUUCUUAAGAUGUACAUGAAUGCCUCCAACACAGAUGUUGCCUGUGGACUUCCAAGAUUUCCAAUAUUUGGUUAUAAAUAUCUCUUUUUUAAUUUCAUAAUGUUUUUACUAUAUUACUUAUUAUAAAGAGCGAGAAAACUAUGCUAUUCACAUUCGAUUAAUUAUGAUAUGCAAAGUGAAAACCUGUUUAGGUGGCGCCCAUCUAUCCUUGUCAGUUUCUGUGUCCAAAGCAGCUUCUAUAUUUGCUGGCUUCAAACAUUUAGCUGAAGUAACACCGCAUUCUCCAUAGUAUUUAUUCCCCCUAGAGGAAUUGACUGAAAGAAAGUUCAAAUUUUUCUUCUGUUUCUCAGAAAUUUUACGAUGAUAUUCGAGAGAUCUACUUCUCACUUGCAUAAAGGGGACUACUCAUCUUACCAUUGACAUCUGCCGGGCGAAUGUUGUGUAUAUCAGUCAGGGAUGGACCAUUUUUCAAACCAUAAGAACGGGGCCAUAAGUGCUCUCCUGAAAAAAGCAGUAGACGAUGAAGAUCUCAAAGAUUGUUGUAUACAGUUUAAUACCAAUAACAACUUGUAUCUCUGUGGCUAAUACAGUUUAAUAUCUAUCCUUCUCUCUUUAUUACUAUAUUCAUACUGUGAGAAGCUCUCAGUUUGCUAAUUUAAGCAGAACCUGCUCUUCAAAGCCCGCCUUGGGGCUACAACUUCAAGAGCACAUGAAGCCAUUUAUCUACAUUCUCAGAUAAACUUCUGGUAAAUAUCAACUUCUGGUUCACCUAAUUCUCCUUUCUAAUAAAGCUUAGAAUGUCUCUAGAAAAACAAAACCAAAGAGGUGUUAUUCAUUCAAUCCUCACAACAAUACUUCCCCACUACUUGAGUCAUGUAGAUUAUGAUAAAUUAGAAGUAAUUCAAAGAGUUUCUUCAUUAUGAUUUUACUACUCUGAACUGGAACAGAUGAUGUAAACUGUAAAAUUAUCAUGUACUGUGUCUCAAAGACACACAUGGAUCUAGACUGAGAUUGAAGCUACAAUUAUAUGUUACUUGAUAGUUGAUACUUCAUUUAGUUCAACCAAGCAGUCAGGGUUAUUUCCUUUCCUAUCAACAAAACUCCUACACAAUCUUUGACUCAGAUACUAACACUCUUCAUUUCAAGUUUCACCAUUCCAAAACAAUAAUAUUUAGGUUUUGUAGUAUAUACAUUUUGGAUAUGCAAAAUAAAUCAUAAACUGUAAAAGUAUAAGUGAAAGAGUUAAAUCAUGGAACUUAUUAAAUCAUAAAUCGUAAUAAACCUACAUCAAAAUUCAAAAAUCACAGGAACUGCAGAAAAUCAUAGUAAUUGACUCACUAUUCCAUCCUUCAGGCUUUCCAGCUAAUGACUUUGGUACAACCUUCAGGGAGUAAAUCUCAACUCUGCAUACGAAAAAUGGUAAGUAAGUUGGUAACAAGCACAGAGUAAAUGUAACAAUUUUACAAACUGCAGAAAGCUGUUUUGAGGUUUGAUUAGUCCUUACAUCCCUGAUGAAGCUUCUGGGUUGUCAACAUCCGAAGCAUCUAGAAUCUUGAGAGCAUUCCAUACCUGCUUCGAUAAACCAUUGCUAUCAUACCUAUUGAAACAAAGCACCACAACACUCUACUGCACUAAAUAUCAAUUACCUCUCUGUAAGAUAAAGAUUGAUGCUUGCCAAUGAUGGAAUUCAGUCUCUUCUUGAGUAAUUUACCCUCUAGAUGCUCCACAUUGGCAUAGUAAUUGUUAACAUCUUCACAAGCAUAAACAGGAGAUGGGUAAUCGUAGGCCUGAGCAUCAGCAACAAUAUUGAGAAAGAACAAGUAAAAUGAGAUCAUCUGAGAAACCCAUCUCCAUGAGAUAUUGAUGCACCUUGUGAAGUCCCAUCUGCCCCCAUAAACAAUGCAACAAUUAGUCCUUGUAGAAAUGGUGGAGGUGAUUUGGAUGACCAAAUUAUGAAUUGGGUUUGGAUUAAAGCACUUGAAUUUGAAGUUCUCGGGGCUCCGGGACAAGGUGGAUCUCUGCUUAUAGACAACGACGGGUGCUGUGCAAUGGAAUUUGGUAGCCAUAACCGGAGAAGACUGCAUUGUCUUGGAGACCCCAAGUUUCACUGGGAUGAAGGUAAAGGCCAACUGAAGGGCAAGGAGAGCCGCACGAUUUAACUACCGGUUCAGAUAGCCACCGUUUAUUUACACGUAACAAAAAAAAUUGCACUGAUCAGUUUGAAGAGAUGACUCUCUUAGUCUCCUCCUUCCAUGUUCAUAGCUUUCAGACAAUCAGACCCAGCUGGGAAAUCCUCUUUGGCUUCACAGAUUCAACAAGCAAAGAUUAGAGAUUCUAAUAAACUCGACAAUACCAAACUCUUCCCUGUGGUGUAAUAAGUGUGUCACAUUUCCUUCCCUAACAAUAUCAAGCUAGCUUGGUUUGAUCAAGACCUGUUGGCAUCAGAGAAAAUGAUCUCGGCUUCGCGUCAUAAUCUUUCGCCAUGCAUUUCUGGCGGUUCAUAACCCCUACGAGUAACCAAAUGGCUUUGACAAACUGUUCCACAUUUCCCCAUUCCGGUCUCCCAAUCCGUUUAGGAAUAUAAUUGUAAUAUGGGUUGGAAGCAAAAUUCACUCCAUUGGUUGAAGGCUUAUAAUUUAUCCCUCCGUCUGUGGAGGUGUUACUGAGGAUUGUAACGAUGUUUAAUCAAUGAAGUUAUUCAUUCCUUCAAAAAUAAAGUACUAUUGUUACCUACUGCUAUUAGAAAAACGCUCUCUCUAACCUAGAGAGACUGAAGUGCGCCGUUCGCCCUUGAGCAAGGGUUUUGUCACAGCCCUCCCGUCCGGAGGCUCUCUAUUGCGGGUGGGCUUGUCUCGUCGUCACGGUGGGGCUGCCGGACGGGUGAUGAUGAUCCAUGGCCUUUUGGUUUGGAUAUACUGCGGCUUGAAGUCAGAUCUUUGCAUGAUCUGGUUGCUUUUGUUGCUGUCUUUACGUGGAUGGGGAGUUGGUCGAACGUCUCAAGGAGCGACAUGGUCGGCGGUGGUUGCUUGGGUGAGUCGGGGCUUCUAAGAUCUAGGCUGGUGUUUAUCGAGUUCAAGUCUUGGCGGUGGCCCUUGCAGCUGGAGGCGAUCGUGUUGCCAUGGUCUUGUUGGCGGCUAGCGGCGACCUCAACACAUGGAGAGGGUGAUGCAAUUAGGCUAGGUCUUGUUAGCCAAAACGCUGCCCUCAAGUAUAAGGGGUACAAGUAAUAAUAUAGGGAUUAAGAAAGGUUGUCAAACCCACGAGGAUCAGAUUCUUUUCACUAGCUAGGGUGUUAACCUUAAGAGAGCUAGAAUGUGCAAAUGUACAAUCACAAACCUAAACACACAAGGAAAUCUAGGCUCAUGGUGAGUAUGUGCAAAUGGGGUAAUGAAUUGAUCUUGAGUUUUUGAAGUUGUGAACUAAAUUAAACUAAACUAAAUGCUCAAAUAUAAACUAAAUUACUCUAAACUAAACUAGUGGGAUAAUAGAUGGUGUUAGGAUUCGAAUUGUUUGCUACUAACCUCCCUUGCAAGUAUUGAUGCAAAUCAAUAUGAAUAAUGCUAGGCUAAUCAACCAAUUUUUCUCCUUACAUCCCUCUCGGGUAUAACAAGGGACAUACUCCUUUUGUGGUUUGGUAUCAAGCAACCCCUCUCGAGUGUAAUAUUUAACUACUUAAGUCAUGUAUUUCAAUCCGAUUAGGCAUCUAAUGCAUUACCCUAAGUGCAUAAAGUUUGGAGAUGAAGAAAUUAUGCAAACCAACCAAGUUUAUAUCUAAGUGAUUGUAAUUCACAACCUCUACGUGCACACCUAGUGUGCUUUCAUGCUUUAAUAUUCAAAGGUUACCAAGCUCUAAACAUUAUCAUGUCAUGACAAACACACAUAUUUAAAGUGGUAAAUUAUAAGCAUAUGCAUUCAACUCUUGAACUAGCAUGUAAGAAUGUUAACUAAAAUUGCAUCACAUCAUAUAAUAUAACAUCAAUCCAUACAAGAUUGGUUAGGGAAAACCCUAACCCCAGCAAAGUGCUACUCACUCAUAAAUACAUAAACAAACUCCAUAACUAAAUCAAACAGCAAAUUGAAUCUAGAGUGUAAAAGAUAGAGUUGGCUUAGUGGUGUGUCGAUUAGUCCCCAAGCUCACGUCUUGGUGGUGGUGGUGAUGGUGUGAUUCUCCCUCCUUUUUGCUCUUGAAGAUUUGAUGAUGAAAGGUAGUGAAGCUAGAUCUAUGCUUUGUGUGAAUAGGUGGAGUGGAUGGAGAAAAUGAUAGAGAAAAGUGAAUGGAGAAAUGAUGUGGUAGUGGUGAUGACGACCACGCCGAUGCUUCAACAACGGCAAAAAUGGAGUCGAGGUCAAAGCAUCGAGGGAGAUUAUGAUCGGAUUGAUAUGCGGCGGAGGAACUCGGCCAAUCUCGAUCUUGAUCAAGAUGCGCCGGAAACGCCGUCAAACUUGUGCCUUCCGAUGAAGCUAUGAGUUUCAUGUUCUCGUCACAGGGCUAGAUCUUGAAGCUAGAGAUCGGAGGAAGAAAAGUGUCUUCGGUGCAGGUGGUACUGAUGAUGGCAUCGAAGCCAUGUGUGAAGUUUGGUCAACAUACUUCUUUGUUCUCUUCUUUGCAUUCUUCUCCUUUUACACCAUUUUCUGUAAUAAAUUGAACAAAUUUGUCUCUUCUGCAUGAUCUAUGCCGAUGUUUGCAGGUGGUACUGAUGAUGGCAUCGUAGCCAUGUGUGAAGUUGGUCAACAUACUUCUUUGUUCUCUUCUUUGCAUUCUUCUUCUUUUACACCAUUUUCUACAAUAAAUUGAACAAAUUUGCCUCUUUUGCAUCUAUGCCGAUGUUCACCCUUUUUUUCGGAAAUUACCUUCUUAUUCUUCUUCUAUCUUCAUCUUCUUCGUUAUUUUAUGUUUUGGCAGAUUAUUAGGGGUCAGUAACACGAUUAUUAGGAGUGAGUAACAAGAUUAUUAGGGGUCAAUAAUUGAUUACUAGGGUCAGUAACCGAUUAUUGGGGGUUAGUAACAUGAUUAUUAAUGGUCAGUAACCGAUUACUAUGAGUCAGUAACCAAUUAUUGGGGAUCAGUAACCGAGUUACCGGUGACUGAAAUCCGGCGACCGAAGAAAUUCCGGCAACCGAUGACUAAGAAGAGUAAAGAUAACAAAGUUGUUUAAGCUGAAGCAAGUUAUACCAAUCGACUUUCCCACCGAUUCCAAAGCAUUUCUUCCGGCCUCUUGAUCUAUGCUAUUACCAACUGUAGUUGUACAUAUCUCAGAUAAUAACAAAUCCUAAUCAGAAUAGUAUUGUAUCAUUUUUUUCUGUUUUAAUUAAAGAAACAGAGAGAACUUUGGCGUACAAACAUCAAAAGUGUCAGUAACGUUGUUUUGAGAAUUUUGCUUAAUCCUCAAGAAGCAGCCUCAUGUCCAUUGAUUUCAUCUCUCCUCUUCCUUCCUACCCUAGUCGUCAACGAUCAAAUUCAGAAUUCAUACCUCAAAUCCAAAAUUUAAAUUUGUAAAAGUAUAUCAGAAAUCAUCUCUCAUCUUCACAUGAAGUCAUGCAGGGAAAGGGAACACAAAAACAAAUAGAGACAAUUGGUCAAGGCAGUGGCUAAUUUUUUCAACCAAAAAUAAACCAAUAAUUCAAACAGUCCUAAUUUUAUCUAUAAUCCAGCCAAAUCCAAAACAAGUGAUUAAGCCUCCCUCUGAACAACACCAAGCGCCUAAUUAUGUUGUGUAAGUACAUUCCUCUUAAAUACUGCUCCAGCACAGACUAGAACUAUAAGAUCAAAACCACACUUUGUCUAAGAAAUAAAAUUCAGAACUACUCCUCCUUUUUCAAGCUUAAUAACUUAACUCUAAAAGCGAAAAAGUACAAAUUUGUAACUUGCUUACAAUCUAUGAAUCUAUAUUAAUUGUUUAGAUAGAGCAAUGUAGAUAAGUAAAAGGAUCAUACCAUUUGAUGAGCCAGUCAAAUAGGAAAUGUUGCAUAAUAGGCACCUUCUCCAACACCUCAACCUUAUACAUCUUGAGCAUCCCACUAUUAACUUUAUGUCAAUUCGGCACUCCACUGAUAUCAUCCAACAACGGCGAGUGCUCCGAAAACGGCCCCUUCUUCAUCUUCUUCAUGAAAGCCACCGCCGAAAGAUACAUAUACUCCUUCGAAAAGUUCUCUAAUAUAUCAUCAUUAUGAAUGGACUUAGGCUUCAUGUACUUGUGAUUAAUCAACUGCGACGAGCCAAAAAUAAACGGCAGGAAAUGAUAGUUGUCAAGGCCCCCAAACGAUAUGGGAAAAAUGUCACUGAACAAUUCAGGCUUCUCAUGAAUCAACCUACGAACAUUAGAUUAACUUUAAAUGUAAGCACACACAUCAUAUCAUGCAAAUAAUACUCAGAAUUCAAAGGCAAAGAGCCCUUAGCAACAAUAUUAGUCAUUUCUCCACUAGGCAACACUACGGGAGGCAAUGAACAAUUUUUAUCCCCGUGUAAUAGUGAACUUUGAGAUGAAGAGAUGUGGUCUAGGAAAGUAGCGUGAUGGAUUAUAUUACCUGGCGGCAUUAGCGACAAAGAAAACCUUAACCAAUUCUCAUUCAUCCUCAAACCAUCAAUCAGUCUGCAACCUCACAAGCUCAUCCAACCCAUCCACUGAUCUCUGACAUAGCCGUUUAGGUCAUGUUUCUCAUGCUCCUUUAAAACUCAUUGCUAAGAAAUUUUUAAAUCUUUCAAUUCAGCCUAUUGAUGUGUGUCCUAUUUGUCCCUUGGCAAAGCAACAUCGCUUGCCUUUUGGUGUGAGUUCAAUUUCAUCUGAAAAACCAUUUGAUUUAAUUCAUUAUGAUAUUUGGGGUCGUUAUAAACAUGCUUCCCUUUUUGGGGCUCAUUAUUUUUUUACUAUGGUCGAUGAUUACACAAGAUUCACUUGGAUUUUUUUGAUGAAAUUCAAAGAUGAAGCCCAACCAAUUUUAAAAUGAUUUUUCAGCUAUGUUUUCACCCAAUUCACAUCUCGCAUAAAAGCUUUUCGCAGUGACAACGGUGGCGAGUUUCUUUCACUUCGAUUUUUUUUUAAUGACAAUGGUGUAGUUUUUCAACACUCGUGCGUAUACACACCUCAACAAAAUGGGGUUGUGGAACGUAAAAAUGGUCAUAUUUUACAAGUGGCCCACGUUUUAAAAUUUCAUGCUCAUCUCCCUACCUAAUUUUGGGGGAGUGUGCUCUUCCUGCGGUACACAUCAUCAAUCGAUUGCCUACACCUGUCCUUUCUUUCAAAACUUUGUUUGAGUGUUUAUACUCAAAACCACCUCCAUACCAUUAUUUUCGUGUGUUUGGUUGUUUGGCCUAUGCUACCAAUGUUCAUCUUUCACACAAAUUUGAUUAUCGUGUUAUGGCAUGUAUUUUCAUAGGUUAUCAUAUUGGCCAAAAGGCCUGCAAAUUGUAUAAUCUGUCAACGAAAAAAAAUUUCACAAGCAAAGAUGUUUUCUUUCAUGAAAAUAUUUUUGGGAAAAUACCCAUUUAGUACUAAUUGUAACCCUUCAUUACUCAUUCCAAUGACAAUCUUUUAAAUAAGCCCGUUUGAAUGAAAAUAAAUUUUUUUUUAUGCCCAAAUGGUCAAAUUUUUACUAAAGUCUUAACAAACUAUAUAAUUUUAAGACUAUUUUGCCCCUACCUCUUCAACAUGAAAAACUUGGCCGGAACCUCAAACUCCGGUCACCGGCCGCUGAACUCCGGUCACCGGAAUUUCCCCGACCGCCGGACUCCGGUCACCAGAAUUUCCCCGACCGCUGAACUCCGGUCACCAGAAUUUCCCCGACCGCCGGACUCCGGUCACCAGAAUUUCCCCAAUAACCAGUUACUAACCCCCAAUAACCAGUUACUGACCCCCAAUAACUAGUUACUGACCAGUUACAAACCCCCAGUAACUGAGUUACUUUAGUCACCGGCCACCGGAACUGAGUUACUGACCCCCAAUAACUGAGUAAUGAUUCCUUAAAAGGCUAUUGACCCUGGGUAACUCAAUUACUGACCCCUAGUAACUCGAGUUACUAACCCCCAGUAAUCGAUUACUACAUCUAUGAAAACGACAAAGUACGCACUUAUUUGCCAUGCUUCCCCACAAAGAUCUAACUCUCCAUGAAUCUAUACCUCAAAUAGAAGUCCACGUCCACCUUGCAGAUUAGUAGCUCCAGCAAGCCCAAACACACCAAUAGACUUCAUCUUUUAACAAUGGAAGUCCACAGUUUUCACAUUCAUUCAAGCAAUACAGAAAAGAGAAUCGGUGUGGGACAAAAUCCAAACUCACAAGCCUCCCCUCCGAUUUCACAUUCACCAUCACCAAUUUACCUUCACCAAUUCACUUGAACGGUGAUGGAUGUCGCCGACGAGAGAGAGAAAAAGAGAGACCUGAGGGAAAGUAGGAACGAGAUCAAGCUCCUUAUUGACCCUUGGAAACCUUCUCAGCAGCCAGGGAGCUCUGCAAACCCUAAUCGUGAUUGAGAACUGAUCGGACGGGCAUGAACAUCAGGCGGCACCGAUGAGCACAAGCUAGAGGCGGAUGGCGAGCGGCACAGCAUUUUGGAUCUGCUGCCGGGGUCGGAUGAGGGGGCUCGGAGAAGGAGGACGUUGACGAGCGGUGUUGAUUUCCUGCAGCGGUGGAGGAGGUUGCAGAGGAGAAGGCAGCGUNNNNNNNNNNNNNNNNNNNNAGAGAGAGAGAGAGAGAGAGAGANAGAGAGAGAGAGAGAGAGAGGAAAGUUUCAGAUCAAAGGAGACAGAGGUGAAUGAGGGUCAGGAUAUAAAAGUCUUUUCCUUAAUAAUCAUUGGAAUGGGCUUAUGAAAAAAGUUUUCAUUGGAAUAGGCUUUAGAAACCAUAUUUUUGUGUAUUUGGGCAUUUUCUCAAUAUUUUUCCAUAUGCAUCUGAGAAGCCCAACUCUUCUGUCCCUUUGGCCCAUUCCCACGGGCCAAUCAAUCUUCCGAUACAUGACCCAUAUAAAAUCUCAAUUCAUUUAGUAUUCUACGUACUACAACUAAUUAAUAACAAAUUAAUUAACACAUAUAUAUACUUAAUAAUUACAUAACAAUAUUAUAUAUCAACAUCAUCACAAAAUCAUCAUCAACUCAUAUCAUCAACAACUUCAUACCAUCAACACAAUAUUAUAAUUUAAUUAACAUAUAUAUAUAUAUAUAUCUACUACUUAUUAACAACAACUUCAUAUAUAUUGACACGACCCACCCCAAAUUUCACCCUGAAACCCAGAGUAAGUCGUGCGGGGACCACCUCUAAGGAAAAUUUACCAAAAAAUCGGCAUAACCUCCCUUGAAAAUGGACAACCCUUCUUAAUAAUACCUGCAAACACUUCUGAAAAUUUAAAUCCAACCUUAAACUCCUAGAGCCUCCGUCCUCCCCAAAUCACAACACCACCCAAAUUAUUUACUAAUCUAAACAAAUCUCAUAUCCAACCAUUUAUAGGUUCAGAGCAACUCUAACAGGAAGAAAGGAAACAUAAUAAAUUAACAAGCGGAAGCUAUAUGAUGACUAUGCCUCAUCCCCAUGUAAGUCCAACCUCAACUAUGCAAUCCUGCAAACUGGGCAUUUUUAAAACGAAGAGCCAAGGGGAAAACAUUUGAAACACGUUAGAGUGAGUGGACAAAAAUAAAUUAACGAAUAAAAUAUUUAUGUUUCCCCAAAUCAAUUUCCAAGGAAAAUCGAAUGCAUACUGCAAGCGAUAAAACUUUUAUCUCAAAAAUGUCGAGCCUCUCAGGCUCUAUAAUAUAUGUAUGUAUUUACACACGUCCAUACUCCCUAUAUAAAUUCAUGGGUCUAUAUAGGGCUACUACGCUCGCGUCCAACGCUCACGUCACGCCUUAAUGCGGUGCUACACUACGCCAUCAAGGUGGACAGACGGGUGUAUAAAUAUGUGCCCAUACCCCCUAUAUGAAUUAAACACUCAUAUAGGGCUACUACGCUUACGUCCAACGCUCACGUCACACCAUAAUGCGGUCUAUAUGCUACGCCAUUAAGGUGGACAGACACAUAUGGCUAGCUAGCUUUUAUAUACAUACUCUCUUAUAAAUCAUAUUUAUAUUCACCGAAAAUCCCAUUUUCGGUAACUCUCUCAGAGAAAUAAAAGCGUCAAAAUUAAUUGACGUCAAAAACUCCAACAAAAGGAAAUGUUCAAUCAUGAACCAUAGCAUGCAUAUUAUUUCAAAUAAAAGUCCACUCACAAAUUAGGCCUAAGCCCGACGAUAACCGCAUCGCCGCUC